GUAAGUGUCCUGCCUGAUGGCAUCUGAAGCUUUGGGCAUGGGCUGCGUGCGCAUGUUUUGUCAAUAAUGUUCUCUUGGAGCCCAGCCACACCCUUUCGUGUGCAGGGUGACUGGUACAUCUGCCGUGGAGCUGAAUGGUGGCAACAGGGACCAUAUGGCUCAGGAAGCAGACUGUGAUUGACUGCUCCUCUGCCACACAGGCCUGCUGACCCCACACUGCGAUCUGAUUUACUGUUUACUUGGUGUUUGGGCCUGGGCUCGGGAACAUGCCGUGCUAAUUUUUGGAAGAUUGAUAACAUGCAAAUAAUUUGGUCCUAUCAUCCACAAAGUGAUUUCUGUCUAGUAAUGACAUCCUCAAAGAACGUGAGUUCAUUGACCCGGAAGACAUCCAUCACAGCAUCAAACCUCAGGACUCUUCCCUAGCACUGAUUCUGCCAGUCGCCGUGUUUUAUCUUUUCCUCCACGAUCUUCGAAUCCCACCCUGCUUGCUCCUACACUGAUGGAUUCAAGAAAUCCUCCAAUCACAGCCCUCAGAAGGCAGAGGCAGGAGGAUCACUGAAAGUUUGAAGGCAGUCUGGUCUAUAAAAUCGAGUUCUAAAACAGCCCAGGAUGUUUAGCCAGAUCUGGUAUUAAAAAGCAGAAACCAAACCAAACCAAACCAAACCAAACCAAACCAAACCAAUGGAAACCUCAACGCACAUUUUUGUUUUCAUACAAUUUAUGCUCCUGUGUGUGUGUGUGUGUGUGUGUGUGUGUGUGUGUGAGAGAG
rnacentral:lncRNA from 1 species